rnacentral:lncRNA from 1 species
GGCACACCCCCAUCAAAGAGAGGAACGCUUAAAUCACCCAGAACAUUCCACUGUACCCUGCCAUCCAGUCAGUCUUCAGACAUCCCCACAGGCAACCUCAGUUUAUAUUUUUUUCAGUAUUCAUUGGUAUUGGCAGCUCUUCAAGUGACUGGCUCACAGGAUCUGGGUGGCAGCCUGAAUGCAAACUCUGAGCCCCUUGCAAGUCCUUCUUCAGAGGUGCCUGGUGUGAGACAGUAAACCAUGCCAUGAAGCUUGCUAAGGUAGCGCUGGUCUGAUAUCCAGAGACUUGAGAUGACUAAAAAGAAGCUGAGCCUCAACUAUUACCUUCCCUUCCCCUGCAAUAUAUAUUAACCGUGGGAAAG